rnacentral:rRNA from 1 species
AGUGAACGCUGGCGGUAGGCCUAACACAUGCAAGUCGAACGGCAGCACAGUAAGAGCUUGCUCUUACGGGUGGCGAGUGGCGGACGGGUGAGGAAUACAUCGGCAUCUACUUUUUCGUGGGGGAUAACGUAGGGAAACUUACGCUAAUACCGCAUACGACCUACGGGUGAAAGCAGGGGAUCUUCGGACCUUGCGCGAUUGAAUGAGCCGAUGUCGGAUUAGCUAGUUGGCGGGGUAAAGGCCCACCAAGGCGACGAUCCGUAGCUGGUCUGAGAGGAUGAUCAGCCACACUGGAACUGAGACACGGUCCGGACUCCUACGGGAGGCAGCAGUGGGGAAUAUUGGACAAUGGGCGCAAGCCUGAUCCAGCCAUACCGCGUGGGUGAAGAAGGCCUUCGGGUUGUAAAGCCCUUUUGUUGGGAAAGAAAAGCAGCAGGUUAAUACCCCGCUGUUCUGACGGUACCCAAAGAAUAAGCACCGGCUAACUUCGUG